UACGUAGGGUGCAAGCGUUAUCCGGAAUUAUUGGGCGUAAAGAGCUCGUAGGCGGUUUGUCGCGUCUGCUGUGAAACUGGAGGCUCAACCUCCAGCCUGCAGUGGGUACGGGCAGACUAGAGUGCGGUAGGGGAGAUUGGAAUUCCUGGUGUAGCGGUGGAAUGCGCAGAGUAUCAGGAGGAACACCGAUGGCGAAGGCAGAUCUCUGGGCCGUAACUGACGCUGAGGAGCGAAAGCAUGGGGAGCGAACAGG
rnacentral:rRNA from 1 species